GGACAGAAAGACCCUAUGAAGCUUUACUGUAGCCUGGAAUUGGGUCCGGGCUUCGCUUGCGCAGGAUAGGUGGGAGGCGUAGAACAUUUCCUUGUGGGGAAAUGGGAGCCGACGGUGAGAUACCACUCUAGCGAGGCUAGGAUUCUAACCUUGAACCGUGAUCCGGUCAAGGAACCGUUUCAGGUGGGCAGUUUGACUGGGGCGGUCGCCUCCUAAACGGUAACGGAGGCGUACAAAGGUUUCCUCUGAACGGGUAGAAAUCGUAUCUAGAGUGUAAAGGCAUAAGGAAGCUUGACUGUGAGACUUACAAGUCGAGCAGGGACGAAAGUCGGUCUUAGUGAUCUGACGGUGCUGAGUGGAAAGGCCGUCACUCAACGGAUAAAAGUUACUCUAGGGAUAACAGGCUGA
rnacentral:rRNA from 1 species